rnacentral:rRNA from 1 species
GCGCAGCAGGCGAGAAACCUCCGCAAUGCGGGAAACCGCGACGGGGGACCCCGAGUGCCGUGGCAACGCCACGGCUUUUCCGGAGUGUAAAAAGCUCCGGGAAUAAGGGCUGGGCAAGGCCGGUGGCAGCCGCCGCGGUAAUACCGGCGGCCCGAGUGGUGGCCGCUAUUAUUGGGCCUAAAGCGUCCGUAGCCGGGCCCGUAAGUCCCUGGCGAAAUCCCACGGCUCAACCGUGGGCUUGCUGGGGAUACUGCGGGUCUUGGGACCGGGAGAGGCGGGGGGUACCCCUGGGGUAGGGGUGAAAUCCUAUAAUCCCAGGGGGACCGCCAGUGGCGAAGGCGCCCCGCUGGAACGGGUCCGACGGUGAGGGACGAAGGCCAGGGGAGC